CUGUAAACACAACAUUCAGUCAGUAUAUGACUAGCUGCGGUGGUGUAGAGUGUCGACGCUCGUCCGUCUGCAGUAAGGUGAACCGAAUUUAUUUAUGAGCUUUCGAAAAUAAAACGAUAUAUGCCUCAGGGUGCACGAAUUAGAAAAUAAUAAUAAUAAUAAUAAUAAAAAAUCCACGUUUGGGAUGUUCUCGCCUCAUACCUGAAGAGGG